AUGCCUAGGUAUAAGCAUGGGGGAGAAGGAAAAGGAUGAGGGGUUCAUUCUUAAAGUUGAUUCUGCUUAAACUACCCCCAUAUUUUUGUCAAAUACAAAUAUGUAUGGAGAUACAGCUCUCCUAUAAGAAAAUCCUAUUGGCAUCUUCCUGUAUCCCUCAUUUAUGCCUACCAAAGUCUAUAGACAGAUCUACUCUGUGCUAAAACAAAAACAAACGAAAACCUUGAUAUUUAACUGGAUAAAUGAAGAUUUUUUUCAAAAUGUGUUUAUUUCACAUCUAAAAAAGGGAAACAGGGCCACACAUAAAAUUUCCACAAGUGGACUAUUUAUUUAUUUAUUUAUUUAUUUAUUUAUUUAUUUAUUUAUUUAUUUUUGAAGCUAUACAGGAGCUGAGGGGAUGAGAGAGCAGGUAAUUGCCUGCAAAGGAGUACCUGUGGGCAGUAUUUAUUUUUUCUUUCUUUCUUUUUACCUACUAUGUCUGCUUUAUUAGGGGGUCUCUGUAAGACACAGGUCUGAGAGAGGCAAUUUGGCCUGCAGCCCAGGAAUCUAGCCCUGCCUGGCCAGGCAUCUCUGCAGCAGAUGCAACACUGGGGCCGGAUCGCUGUCCGCGGUGCUGAAAGGUCGAGGAACCCAGAGCCGUCCCUUGGUAUUGCUGUCCAGGGUACUGAGUGAGGUCGUCCGCAGUCCCCAAGGCAGCCCACCCCCGCCAGCUCUCCGAAGAACCCUCCCACCCAGCACGACCCGCCCGCCUCCCGCCAGCCCGCAGCUGACAAGGAGCAGGCGGCAUAAAUCAAGUCCGUAGGGCAUGGAGGCUGCUGCCGCUGCUGCUGCGGCUCAGCUUGCCCGGGGCGGGAACUCCCCUUUCUGCUUUCGCCUCCUCAGCGUCCACACCCUGCCUUUCCCCCAAUUCGUCCCUGGGUAAUAGCGCCCUAACAUCAACAGUCAUAAUAAUAGGGUCAGAACGACAGGGUUUGUUUAUUUUGGCCUACAGAAAAGAAGAAAAAAAAAACCCCAACAGCCUAAACAUCUCUGAAAACUGCAUCUCAAAAUGGAAGAGAGGACCCCACUGCUGUUUCAAAAGACCCUCUCCUCUGAGAACUACCAUCCUUGAGGGUGGACCGCAUCCUUCCGCUGUCUUUGGAUGCAUUCACCAUGAACACCGAAACUCACUUGUUUGGUGACCCUUCAGAUCAGAACUCUGUUCUCUACAUUUCAAGGUGGUUUUCUCCAUGUGGUGACAAAAAUGGCCGCUGGGAGCCCAAGACUCCCACGUUUUCUGCUGAAUAACUGCCGCCCAAAGAGACGUUUCCCUUCCCGGUAGUUUCAUCAGAAGUCUGGAGGCAGAUUCUCGUUGGAUCUCCUUGUACAUAAACUGAACAGCAACGCACCCAACUGAAAGGCUCACCACAUCACCCUCCUUUGCAGCUGGACGGUUGGCAGUCCUGGCCAGUGAAAUGUGAGGCUUCCUGGAAACCUUUCAGCAGUGGAGGGA